rnacentral:rRNA from 1 species
GUGAGGAAUAUUGGUCAAUGGUCGGGAGACUGAACCAGCCAAGCCGCGUGAGGGAUGAAGGCGCUAAGCGUCGUAAACCUCUUUUGCCGGGGAACAAGAGCGGGGACGUGUCCCCGUGUGAGUGUACCCGGAGAAAAAGCAUCGGCUAACUCCGUGCCAGCAGCCGCGGUAAUACGGAGGAUGCGAGCGUUAUCCGGAUUUAUUGGGUUUAAAGGGUGCGCAGGCGGGUCGUUAAGUCAGCGGUAAAAGCCCGGGGCUCAACCCCGGCGAGCCGUUGAAACUGGCGGUCUUGAGUUGGCGAGAAGUAUGCGGAAUGCGCGGUGUAGCGGUGAAAUGCUUAGAUAUCGCGCAGAACUCCGAUUGCGAAGGCAGCAUACCGGCGCCAUACUGACGCUCAGGCACGAAAGUGCGGGGAUCGAACAGGA